GAUGAACGCUGGCGGCGUGCCUAAUACAUGCAAGUCGAGCGAACGGACGAGAAGCUUGCUUCUCUGAUGUUAGCGGCGGACGGGUGAGUAACACGUGGAUAACCUACCUAUAAGACUGGGAUAACUUCGGGAAACCGGAGCUAAUACCGGAUAAUAUUUUGAACCGCAUGGUUCAAAAGUGAAAGACGGUCUUGCUGUCACUUAUAGGUGGAUCCGCGCUGCAUUAGCUAGUUGGUAAGGUAACGGCUUACCAAGGCAACGAUGCAUAGCCGACCUGAGAGGGUGAUCGGCCACACUGGAACUGAGACACGGUCCAGACUCCUACGGGAGGCAGCAGUAGGGAAUCUUCCGCAAUGGGCGAAAGCCUGACGGAGCAACGCCGCGUGAGUGAUGAAGGUCUUCGGAUCGUAAAACUCUGUUAUUAGGGAAGAACAUAUGUGUAAGUAACUGUGCACAUCUUGACGGUACCUAAUCAGAAAGCCACGGCUAGCUACGUG
rnacentral:rRNA from 1 species